rnacentral:rRNA from 1 species
UUGAAUGGCCGCGAUAUUUUGAUCGUGCUAAGGUAGCAUAAUAAUUAGUUUUUUAAUUGAAAGCUGGUAUGAAAGGUUGAAUAAGAAAAUAACUGUCUCUUAUUAAUUUUAUUAGAAUUUUAUUUUUAAGUUAAAAAGCUUAAAUAUAGUUAAAAGACGAGAAGACCCUAUAGAGUUUUAUAAGAUAUUUUAAUUGAUUAUUUUUAGUAUAUAUAUAAAAAAUUAAUUAUAAAUUUUAUUUGAUUGGGAUGAUUGAAAAAUUUAAUAAACUUUUUUUAUAUAAAGACAUUAAUUUAUGAUUAUUUGAUCCAUAUUUAGUGAUUACAAGAUUAAAUUACCUUAGGGAUAACAGCGUAAUUUUUUUAUAGAGUU